rnacentral:ncRNA from 1 species
AACCAUUCAAGACAAUUAUUAUGUUCAGUAAACACAAUGUAAGAUAUAGGCUAUCGGAAUGGGUACAAUUUAAACCUGUUGACGGACAUUUAUGGGAGGGCAAGUCCGAUGCCAGCAGCCGCAGUAUUUCCAACUCUCAAAGUAUACAUCGUCAUUGUUGUGGUUAAAAGUUCGUUUUGGAUUUGCGUCUCAGAACCUGGUCCAUUUAUUGGAUAAAACUUGGGCUCCUUGCCGAUUUUUCCUACUUUAUUUAGAUCAGUUAUGUAUAGUGGCUAGCAAGUUUAUCUUGGAAAAAUCUGAAUGCUUAAUGCGGACGAAUACCAUGAAAUAAUGAAAUCGGAUCUCGAUUCUACUUUGCUGAUUUUCUGAUUUGAGAUAAUGGUUAAAGGGGAUUGCGGGAGCAUUCGUACUGUUGCAUGAGAGGUGAAAUUUUUUGACCGUAACGAGAUAUUCGACUGCGAAAGCAUUUGUCAAGAAUGUCUUCAUCAGUCAAGAACGAAAGUGAGAGGUUUGAAGGCAAUCAGAUACCGUCCUAAUUCUCAAUGAUUGUAACAUAUUGCGCAAAUGUUUAUUCCAGAAAGCAAAUUAAGA